UGGGGAAUCUUCCGCAAUGGACGAAAGUCUGACGGAGCAACGCCGCGUGUAUGAUGAAGGUCUUCGGAUUGUAAAGUACUGUCUUUGGGGAAGAAUGACUGAUUUGAGAAUAUUGAGUCAGUAUGACGGUACCCAAAGAGGAAGCCCCGGCUAACUACGUGCCAGCAGCCGCGGUAAUACGUAGGGGGCAAGCGUUGUCCGGAAUUAUUGGGCGUAAAGGGCGCGUAGGCGGGUAUUUAAGUCCGUUGUGAAAGAUCAGGGCUCAACCCUGAGAGUGCAUCGGAAACUGGGUAUCUUGAGGACAGGAGAGGAAAGUGGAAUUCCUAGUGUAGCGGUGAAAUGCGUAGAUAUUAGGAGGAACACCAGUGGCGAAGGCGACUUUCUGGACUGUAACUGACGCUGAGGCGCGAAAGCGUGGGGAGCAAACAGG
rnacentral:rRNA from 2 species